CAGCCGUAAACUAUGCGCGUUAGGUGUAUCGGUGACCACGAGUUACCGAGGUGCCGAAGGGAAACCGUGAAACGUGCCGCCUGGGAAGUACGGUCGCAAGGCUGAAACUUAAAGGAAUUGGCGGGGGAGCACCACAACAGGUGGAGCCUGCGGUUUAAUUGGACUCAACGCCGGGAAGCUCACCGGAUAAGACAGCAGAAUGAUUGCCGGGCUGAAGACUCUGCAUGACUAGCUGAGAGGAGGUGCAUGGCGUAGACGUCU
rnacentral:rRNA from 1 species